CCUCUGGUAGCUCAGUUGGUAGAGCGGUGGACUGUAGAUCCAUAGGUCGCUGCUUCAAAUCCGGCCCAGAGGA
rnacentral:tRNA from 1 species